ACGAUGUUCCGCUGCAAGGAUGUAAAUUUGCAUGAGCUUCGG
rfam:Virgibacillus soli strain PL205 scaffold000033, whole genome shotgun sequence.